UCUCCGUUGGUGAACCAGCGGAGGGAUCAUUACCGAGUUUACAACUCCCAAACCCCUGUGAACAUACCUAUCGUUGCCUCGGCGGUGCCCGCUCCGGCGGCCCGCCAGAGGACCCCCAAACUCUUGUUUAAUACAGUAUCUUCUGAGUAACACGAUUAAAUAAAUCAAAACUUUCAACAACGGAUCUCUUGGUUCUG
rnacentral:misc_RNA from 1 species